GAUGAACGCUGGCGGCGUGCCUAAUACAUGCAAGUCGAGCGAACAGACGAGGAGCUUGCUCCUCUGGCGUUAGCGGCGGACGGGUGAGUAACACGUGGAUAACCUACCUAUAAGACUGGGAUAACUUCGGGAAACCGGAGCUAAUACCGGAUAAUAUAUUGAACCGCAUGGUUCAAUAGUGAAAGACGGUUUUGCUGUCACUUAUAGAUGGAUCCGCGCCGCAUUAGCUAGUUGGUAAGGUAACGGCUUACCAAGGCAACGAUGCGUAGCCGACCUGAGAGGGUGAUCGGCCACACUGGAACUGAGACACGGUCCAGACUCCUACGGGAGGCAGCAGUAGGGAAUCUUCCGCAAUGGGCGAAAGCCUGACGGAGCAACGCCGCGUGAGUGAUGAAGGUCUUCGGAUCGUAAAACUCUGUUAUUAGGGAAGAACAAAUGUGUAAGUAACUAUGCACGUCUUAACGGUACCUAAUCAGAAAGCCACGGCUAACUACGUG
rnacentral:rRNA from 1 species